rnacentral:rRNA from 1 species
GUGCCAGCAGCCGCGGUAAUACGUAGGGUGCGAGCGUUAAUCGGAAUUACUGGGCGUAAAGUGUGCGCAGGCGGCGUCGCAAGUCGAGUGUGAAAGCCCCGGGCUCAACCUGGGAACUGCGCUCGAAACUACGGUGCUGGAGUGUGGCAGAGGAAGGUGGAAUUCCACGUGUAGCGGUGAAAUGCGUAGAGAUGUGGAGGAACACCGAUGGCGAAGGCAGCCUUCUGGGCCAACACUGACGCUCAUGCACGAAAGCGUGGGGAGCAAACAGGAUUAGAAACCCGCGUAGUCC